UGCAAGUCGAACGGCAGCGCGGACUUCGGUCUGGCGGCGAGUGGCGAACGGGUGAGUAAUGUAUCGGAACGUGCCCAGUAGCGGGGGAUAACUACUCGAAAGAGUAGCUAAUACCGCAUACGCCCUACGGGGGAAAGGGGGGGAUCGCAAGACCUCUCACUAUUGGAGCGGCCGAUAUCGGAUUAGCUAGUUGGUGGGGUAAAGGCUCACCAAGGCGACGAUCCGUAGCUGGUUUGAGAGGACGACCAGCCACACUGGGACUGAGACACGGCCCAGACUCCUACGGGAGGCAGCAGUGGGGAAUUUUGGACAAUGGGGGAAACCCUGAUCCAGCCAUUCCGCGUGUGCGAUGAAGGCCUUCGGGUUGUAAAGCACUUUUGGCAGGAAAGAAAUCGCAUGGAUUAAUACUCUGUGUGGAGGACGGUACCUGCAGAAUAAGCACCGGCUAACUACGUGCCAGCAGCCGCGGUAAUACGUAGGGUGCAAGCGUUAAUCGGAAUUACUGGGCGUAAAGCGUGCGCAGGCGGUUCGGAAAGAAAGGUGUGAAAUCCCAGGGCUUAACCUUGGAACUGCACUUUUAACUACCGAGCUAGAGUAUGUCAGAGGGGGGUGGAAUUCCGCGUGUAGCAGUGAAAUGCGUAGAUAUGCGGAGGAACACCGAUGGCGAAGGCAGCCCCCUGGGAUAAUACUGACGCUCAUG
rnacentral:rRNA from 1 species